UGAAAAACCCUGCAGCGUUGCAGUUCUUGACACAAACCGGUGUGCCUGACACCUACUACAAUAUCCUGUUCAAAGGCACUUAAAACUUUUGUCUUGCCCAGUCACCCUCCGAAUGGCACACAUUCACAUUUCUUGUCUCAGUUGUCUCAAGGGUUAACAAUCCUUCUUUAACCUGUCUCAUCCCCUUCAUCUACACUGAUUGAAGUGGAUUUCUAUGUCAUGGAAAGAAAAGGUGUCCUUAAUGUUGUGUGCACUCUGUGUAUAUGCCAAUAUCAAAAUACAUUUUUUAUAACAUUAAGAUAAGUAUUCAUACUGUAGUACAUACCCAGCUAGCACUUUUGUUUCCUUGGAAGUUGUGGAAACAUGUGUUUUUGGUUUCCCAUUAGUUCUGGGAACGAAGCCAUAUGUUUCCUGACCGGAAAUAAACAUGUAUCCUGUUCAGGGAACGUUCAUUUUUAGGUUGAAGGGAGGUUCUGAGAACAUCUUACUAUGGUUCACUAAAAGUUUUCCUGGGAGGUUUUAUUAACGUUCUGAGAACAGAAAUGAUAGUUUAUUUGAAGAUAAUUAAAUAAUGCUCUGAGAACAUGUUUCAAUAAGACUGCUAGAUUAAGCAGUGUUGAACUCAAGCACAGGUAGGACACAUGGAAAUUCAUCUUCUUAGACAUUAAUCAUAUAAACACAUUCAUUUUUUAUUGUGGCACGGUGUCAGUAAGAUUCAAACCUAUGAUCUUCUGUUCUCUAUUUAUGGAAUUAGUCCACUGCGCCACAAGGAUGGCACUAUCAUGCCUUGUUUUUCUUUACUCAUACAAAUCAGUUCAAUUUAGUCUAUUCAUACAGACUCCCCAUUUCAAAGGAAACAAGCACUCAUUAAGUUCAGGUGUGGCCAAUUUGUGGGCACAGCCAACACACCUGAACACACUUAACAAGAUAGAGGCUAGAGGGAGUUUUGUUGACGCUGAGAACAUAAUGUAUAUGUUGUUAAAUAACAUUCUUAGAACGUUCUUUGAACGUUACUAAUGUUUUCUUAAUGUUCUGAGAACAUGACUUUAAAUAGAACCCUGCAGAAAACGUUAUGCUGAAGUACUGAAAUUCCCACCCAAGAAACAUGGUUCUCAGAACAUUAUGUGCAACCAGGGUAUCCCUUCAGCAUUCCCAGAACCCUGAGGGAAGGUUGUAUGCAAAUAUAACCAUAGGACAACUCUCACCAAGCUCUCACCACGCUCUCACCACGCCCUCACCACGCUCUCACCAAGCUCUAAGAAACAUAUGGUUCUCAGAAUGUUAUGUGUUAGCUGGGUACCUUACAUAUUGUAGAAACAAACAACAACAUAUACCCAAUAUACAGUAUGUCCAGGUAUAUAUGGACAUUUUCAAUAUAUGAAAUGGUAGAAACAAGUAAGCUUACCAGACAAAUACUGUAAAUAACAGUAGAGACCACACACAGUGAGAAUGUAGCCAUUUCACAAAUCAUUUCCAGAGUUGCAGCCUGGAUAUUUCGAUUGGUCACACUUUGUUUAAAUAGUGCCUUUUUUUCUCACAAAUAGCCAUUUAAAUACUUGACAACUGUUUUUGCUGGCGAUUGAGUCAUAAGAGAUGGUCGGUGGAAGAUAAUUCACAAGAACUUCAGGCAAGUCUUCCAGGUCCUGGCUCCCGAGGCAGCAAAGCAUCCCAAAACCAUCACACCACCACCACCCUGCUUGACCGUUGGUAUGAGGUUCUUACUGUGGAUUGCAGUGUUUUGUUUUCGCCAGGCACAAUGGGACCCAUGACGUCCAAAAAGUGAUCAUUUUGAAUCAACUGUCCAUAGAACAUUCUUCCAAGGGUCUUGAUGAUCAUCCAGGUGCUUCUUGGCAAACUUGAGUCAACUGUUUUGGACAACAUGGGUUUUGGAAUGGCCUCGUCGAGUUCAUGCUUGAAAACCCACAAAUGUCGCUGAGUUACAGCAGUUCUGCAACCAAGAGUGGGCCAAAAUGCCUCCACAGCGAUUUGAGAGACUGAUCAACAACUACAGGAAGUGUUUGGUUGCAGAGUCACUAAAGGUGGCCCACGCAGGCAGGCAGGCAGUUAAGUGUCAGGGGGAAAUGACUUUUUCACAGGGAAAUAGGGUUUUGAAUAACUUUGAGUUUACACACAACAAAAAGUGUUUAUACUUCAAAUAAGUAUACUUUUUUGGGAUAUUUGUAAACUCAGGUUCCCUUUAUCUAAUAUUAGGUUUUGGUUGAAGAUCUGACAACAUUCAGUAUCAAAAAUAUGUAAAAAUAGAGAAAAUCAAAAAGGUACAAAUACUUUUCACUGUGCUGUGUAUCUGUUCUGCAGUUUCAAAAUGAAAGCACCUUCAGUACCUAGUCGACACAUUUGAAGAUGUCAUAAGUAUUGUACAAAUUCACUUAUAGUGUUUUACAUUUGGUCAAAAUGUAGUAUUUGGUCCCAUAUUCCUAGCACACAAUGACUGCAUCAAGCUUGUGACUACAAACUUGUCGGAUGCAGUUGGUUUUGGUUGUUGUGCCCAAUAGAAAUGAAUGGUAAAUAUUGUAUUGUCAUUUUGGAGACACUUUUAUUAUAAAUAAGAAUAUAAUAUGUUUCUGAACAGGUAUACAUUAAUGUGGAAUAAUCAUGAAUGAAUUGUGAAUAAUGAUGAGUGAGAGAGUUAGAGGUGUAGGGGAGUGUAUGUAUGUUUAUUACACAAUCGUUUUUUCCAAACACAGUACAAUACAAUCAUUGUAAUGGUA